GCUUCCGUGUUGCUGGCUUCCUCUUGGAUCACUUCCUCUGGAGGAAACCAACUGUGUGUUGUGAGAAGAUUUAAGCAAAUCCAGGGAGAGGUUCACAUGGUAAGGAUCGGAGGCCACCAGCCAACAACCAUGCUGGUGAGGGAUUUUUAGAAGCAGAUCUUCUAGCUCCAGUCAGGCCUUCAGAUGACUGCAUCCCACGUUGACUCCAACAUUGUGAAAUGACACUGAGUCAGACUCACCCAGCAAAACCACCAAACUCCUGACCCACAGAAACAGAGUCCACAGGACUUUAGACACAGAGGAGCUCUACUUGAAGAUCUAUUCUUAAAGAACUACACCUGGUCAGGCAUGGUGGCUUAUGCCUAUAAUCCCAACACUUUGAUAGGCCGAGGCAGGAUGACUGCUUGAGCCCAAAAGUUUGAGAACAACCUGGGAAACAUGGUGAAACCCCAUCACCACAAAAAAAAACUUUAAAAAUUAGCCAGCCAUUGUGGUGUGUGCCUGUAGUCCCAGCUACUUGGGAGGCUGAAGCAGGAAGAUUGCUUGAGUCCAGGGGUCAAGGCUACAAGUAAGCUGAGAUUGCACCACUGCACUCCAGCCUCGGCAACAGAGUGAGACUCUGUCUCAACUAAAAAAAAAAGAACUACAGAACUACACCUGAGAAGACUUCUCUGUAUUGGGAUAUGAUUUAAAUAAUUACAUCCUGGACUUCAAACCUGGACAUCUUGUACAAGUUUGAGACUUUUGGGAGGAGUUGAGAGGAGUGAGAGUAUUUCACAUGUGGGAGAAAUAGAAAUAAUUUGUGGCCAGAUGGUGGACUGCGAUGAUUUAAAAUACGUCCACAGAUUAUUUAACAUUCCUUUCAAAAGAUGGUACCUAAUUACCCUCCACCUGAAUUUGGGCUGGUCUUAGUGACUCGUUUGUAGUGAAUAGAAUGUAGAAGUGAUUGUGUGUGAUGUCAGAGACUAGGUCAUAAAAGUGAUGGUGUCUUCCGGCUUACUCCUACUCUUGGAUGAUCUGCUCUGGGGAGAGUUGUGAGUAGGCCUCCAGCCCACAGCCAUGUGAGUGAGCCUUUUGAAGAGUGGAUCUUCCAGGCCCAGUCAAGCCUUCAGAUGACUGCAGCCCCAGCCAACAUCUUGGGAGACCCUGAGUCAGAAACCCCUGCUAAGUCACUUCCAGAUCCCUAAGUCUCAGGAACUGUGAAAAAAAAAAAAAACAGCCACCUGAGGGCCAAACUGAUGCUCAGGGAGUUGGAGUAUCUUCUUCCAUCACAGGUGAGGAGCCGUCAAGCUGCCCCAUGCCAGGACACCAUCUGCUGCAAGAUUGCAUCCCCUCUGAGUGGCAUGAGAGCCACAGCAGGGCGGGCACAAAUCCUCCCUCACUUCACACCCCCAUGCUGGUAAUGAGCUGACAAGCUGCAGAUGGAGCAGGUCAGGAAAGAGAACAAACUUGCCUACCUCCCAAGCAACAUACAAAAAUGACAUCCUUUCUAGAUUAGGACCACAUUUGCACGCAUCCACUUUAGUCUAAUACAUCUUUAUUAAUCUCAAAAUAUGUCUUUUUGGUCAAUAACAUUCUUUUAAUAACCAUUAAAGGUAAUCUAUUAUUAAAUGGUUAAUUUUGCUUCCCUUAGAUAAAGAUAACAGAAUUCAAAUACGAACUUGCCCCGUUCUGUUGAAGUGUAGUGAGAGCUGACUGUGUGAACUGAAUAAUGCUUGUCCUGUACAGAAUGGUGAAGAAAAGCAAAGUUUUGUUCACCUGGGAACAUUUUUUAAAAAUACAUUGAUACCUAAUUGAAUACAUAUCAUAAACAUACAAAUUACACUAUUUAAAAUAUACUUACUACAAAAAGAUCCUGAACAUUAUUGGUUAAUGCAAAUAAAACUUCUUCACAUUAUUAUAAAAGUCAAAAUAUUUUACCUCAAUUUGUGCUUUUAAAACUAUUGCUAGCUUCCCCUAGGAAAAGUCAAAAUAACUGUAUAUUGUAGAAAAAAGUGUUUGCACUUUUGACCCAAAUACACGUAUCAACACAAGAAGAGGCAAAUUAACAUCUAAUAAUUGUUUUAAAUUUUCCUGAAACAAACAAACAAAACCUAUUUAUUCAAUGAAAUACAUUUCUAUGGUAAUUGCUAAUUUAAUGUUUUCACGCGUGCACAAAAGAACUACUUUUUCUUGGUCACUAAUGAUAGCAAACACUAGAUGUCUAGGAAUAUAUAUAUAUGUGUGUGUUAUAUAUAUAUUUACAUACAUACAUAUUUAAGAGAGCAUAUAAAGAAAAUAGGACAGUUUGCACAUACAUAUUCAAAGCCUCUCAGAAAUUCCACUUAGGUCCACAUUAGUGAGCCUUAAUGUAUUGCCAGCGUUCUGUGUAAAUAACUAGAGAAGUAAAACAAACUUUAGUA